CUACGGGCGGCAGCAGUGGGGAAUAUUGGACAAUGGGGGAAACCCUGAUCCAGCAAUGCCGCGUGUGUGAAGAAGGCCUGCGGGUUGUAAAGCACUUUCGGUUGGGAGGACUGCUUCUAGCACUAAUAUUGUUGGAAGUUGACGUUACCUUCAGAAGAAGCACUGGCUAACUCCGUGCCAGCAGCCGCGGUAAUACGGAGGGUGCAAGCGUUAAUCGGAAUUACUGGGCGUAAAGCGCGCGUAGGCGGCUAGAUCAGUCGGGUGUGAAAGCCCCGGGCUUAACCUGGGAACUGCAUCCGAUACUGUCUAGCUUGAGUACAGGAGAGGAGAGUGGAAUUCCACAUGUAGCGGUGAUAUGCGUAGAUAUGUGGAGGAACACCAAUGGCGAAGGCAGCUCUCUGGCCUGAUACUGACGCUGAGGUGCGAAAGCGUGGGUAGCAAACAGGAUUAGAUACCCUAGUAGUC
rnacentral:rRNA from 1 species